UAGAAGCUGACUUUCUUUCUUAUUUUAGGGAUGAUUCCCAUGAUGUAUUCAAAUUACAACUCAACUAGAAAGAUUCGAACAAAUGCAAAAUGUAAGCAAGGAUCAAUUGGAAACAAACCAGUCAGCUGUUGGCAUCUUAAAUGGUCAAAAAUAAAAAGCUAUGGAAUAAGUUAACAAGCAUUUAUCCCAUUAUGAGAGACCAUUCGACACAAAAAGGAGUUUCAGUAUCACAAAUGUCAAUGAAGAAAUAAAGAAAGGGAUUUCCAAAUACUGGAGUACAACUAAGUAAUCAUGUUAGUGUAAAAUGUUGUUCUUUAAUGUGCUAUAGGGUCACCUAGGGUUAGUGUGACGUAAAAAUAUGCAAAUUUGAUUUUAAAAUAAAAAAAAAUAUAUUUGUUUUUAAUUGAAC
rnacentral:lncRNA from 1 species